UACAGAGGUCUCAAGCGUUGUUCGGAUUCAUUGGGCGUAAAGGGUGUGUAGGUGGCGCCGUAAGUCGGGUGUGAAAUCUCCCGGCUUAACUGGGAAACUGCAUCGGAAACUGAUCGGCUUGAAGGUGGGAGAGGGUAGUGGAAUUCCCGGUGUAGUGGUGAAAUGCGUAGAUAUCGGGAGGAACACCAGUGGCGAAGGCGACUACCUGGCCCAUUCUUGACGCUGAGGCGCGAAAGCUAGGGGAGCGAACGGG
rnacentral:rRNA from 1 species